GUUCUUGACUUGGCAGAAUACCUUGGAACAAAAAUUGGAACAACUCAGUGAAGAUUAGCAUGGCUUUGCACAAGAAUGACAUGCAAAUUCAUCAAGUGUUCCUAGUUUUU
ensembl:snRNA U6 U6 spliceosomal RNA